GUGCCAGCCGCCGCGGUAAUACGGAGGGUGCAAGCGUUGUCCGGAAUCACUGGGCGUAAAGGGUGCGCAGGCGGGGCAGCAAGUCGGAGGUGAAAGCCCGUGGCUCAACCACGGAAGUGCCUUCGAAACUGCUGCUCUUGAGUCCCGGAGAGGUUGCCGGAAUUCGUGGUGUAGCGGUGAAAUGCGUAGAUAUCACGAGGAACACCAGAGGCGAAAGCGGGCAACUGGACGGGUACUGACGCUCAGGCACGAAGGCGCGGGGGGCAAACAGAAUUAGAAACCCGUGUAGUC
rnacentral:rRNA from 1 species